UGUGCUAUGAGCAGAGCUUGAUCAUG
rnacentral:sRNA from 1 species